UUUUAGGGGACCUGUAAUGACCAUAUUUUUGUAAAUAUUGAAUUUAAAAUAUCUUUUGGCACACGUCACGUGACCAAACUCGAAACGUCAUUGAAGAUUCUGAUGACGCCACAACUCUCGGAUUGACACUGUUGACAGUUAGGCGAUUAACAACAAAUGACAAAUAUCAGUUGACAGUUCGUAUCUUCUACGUGUGUAUGUAGUUAUGUGUCAAACCAUAAACUGUGACGUCACACAAUUUUCAAAGAGCGUUUUGGGCGCGAAAGCAUCUUUCAAAAUAUAUUUUGUUAAUUUAACAUAUUUAAAGCCGUUUUUUGUAUAAAAGCUGAAUUUUAAGGCAACUUUUAGUUAAUAUAGAAAGUAAUACAAGCGUUUCAAAAAAUUGGAAUACGAUUCUCUUUUAGGCCCCAAUUCAUUAUAGAUACGACGAGAUAAGCGUUAUGUGUGGUAUAUAAUUAUAGCUCACAAAUCCACCACAUUAUGUCAUUUUUUAUUUUUUCGGUAGCAUUUGUUUUAACGGAAAUAAAGAGGUUGCAAAUCGAGUAACAGAACUUCAGAACAGAUAUCAUUUGAUAUUUACCAGUCGCUUUUCGGUGAAGGAAAACAUCGUGAGGAAACUGGACAAAUCCCAACAAGGCUUAGUUUUACCCUCUGGGUUGGAAGGUCAGAUGGCAGUGGCUUUCGUAAAAACUAGUGCCUACGCCAAAUCUUGGGAUUAGUUGUCAAAGCGGACCCCAAGCUCCAUUGAGCCGUGGCAAUAUGCUGGGACAACGCUAGGAAGAAAGAAAGAAAUCGAGUAACAGAACUUAGUAACCAACUAGGUAUAAUAGUUAUGAUGUAAAUGUCCAUAUCAUGUUGGAGUCAUAUAUGUAUUAGCCAACUAAUUAUUCAAGAUCAAUACACUUAGCUCCCUUAUGUAUUUGCCUAAGUACAAUCUCGGGCAAAAUUGAGUUUUAUAAAAGUGAACUAGUUUCUAGGUCAUAUUUUCUAUGAAUUGGUCAUUUUUGUAGACUCCAAUUACAGUUACACUUUUCCUGGUUUUUCGCGGACCAGAAUAUCGAUGAUUUUUGUAACUUGAUUUAGACGUUGCUAUCAUUUUCAAUCCAAAAACACAUAAAAUCACAAUUCAGAACAUGCGGCAGCUUUGUUUUCUAUCAAGUACCUCAAGCACCAGGGCGGCUAC